UACGUAGGUGGCAAGCGUUGUUCGGAUUUACUGGGCGUAAAGGGCGCGUAGGCGGCGCGGUAAGUCACUUGUGAAAUCUCUGAGCUUAACUCAGAACGGCCAAGUGAUACUGCAGUGCUAGAGUGCAGAAGGGGCAAUCGGAAUUCUUGGUGUAGCGGUGAAAUGCGUAGAUAUCAAGCAGAACACCUGCGGCGAAGGCGGCCUUCUGGACGAUGACUGACGCUGAGACGCGAAAGCGUGGGGAGCAAACAGG
rnacentral:rRNA from 1 species